UACGUAGGGGGCAAGCGUUAUCCGGAUUUACUGGGUGUAAAGGGAGCGUAGGCGGUUUGGCAAGUCAGAAGUGAAAGCCCGGGGCUCAACUCCGGGACUGCUUUUGAAACUGUUAGACUAGAUUGCAGGAGAGGUAAGUGGAAUUCCUAGUGUAGCGGUGAAAUGCGUAGAUAUUAGGAGGAACACCAGUGGCGAAGGCGGCUUACUGGACUGUGAAUGACGCUGAGGCUCGAAAGCGUAGGGAGCAAACAGG
rnacentral:rRNA from 1 species